rnacentral:rRNA from 1 species
ACGGAAGGCAGCAGUAGGGAAUAUUGGACAAUGGGGGCAACCCUGAUCCAGCGACGCCGCGUGAGUGAAGAAAUAUUUCGGUAUGUAAAGCUCUAUCAGCAGGGAAGAAAAUGACGGUACCUGACUAAGAAGCACCGGCUAAAUACGUGCCAGCAGCCGCGGUAGUACGUAUGGUGCAAGCGUUAUUCGGAUUUACUGGGUGUAAAGGGAGCGUAGACGGCAUAGCAAGUCUGAAGUGAAAUGCGGGGGCUCAACCCCUGAACUGCUUUGGAAACUGUUAAGCUAGAGUGUCGGAGAGGUAAGUGGAAUUCCUAGUGUAGCGGUGAAAUGCGUAGAUAUUAGGAGGAACACCAGUGGCGAAGGCGGCUUACUGGACGAUAACUGACGUUGAGGCUCGAAAGCGUGGGGAGCAAACAGGAUUAGAUACCCUGGUA